UGGAGCCAGCUUGGAAAGCACCCCCGGCCACCUGAGUUAUGGGACUAUGGAGCCAGUCUCUUCGCCAGUCUGAGCCUCCAGUGCCUCUUGGACAAAGCGGGCGCAACCCUGUAAUAUAUCACGGGGCUCCUGUGAGCUGUGCAUUAUGUUUGGGUGCAUGCAUAUAAUAAGUAGGUAGGAUGAGAUUGCAAAAGUGCAUUGAUGUAGUGACUCCCAACAACAAGGGAAACUGUUGUGAUCAAAGCAGCAAGAGCAGGAUUGGGCAAAAUCCUUGCCUCUGGAAAGAAAGCACCUGAGAGGAGAUUCUGCUUGGUGUUUGAUGGAUUGUGCUCAAUGGAGCUGAAAGAAACAACUGGGAUAGAAGCAGUUCCCAUUUUCUUAAA
rnacentral:lncRNA from 1 species